AUUCCAUGAUGCGGGCAAUUUUUGAUCAUCAUAUUAAAGCGCUCAAAGGCUUUAUGAAACAUUUCACCUUGUUGUUGUUGGAAACUCCUCAACCCCUUCCUAGCAU
rnacentral:snoRNA from 2 species